AUGAACGCUGGCGGCGUGCCUAAUACAUGCAAGUCGAGCGAACAGACGAGGAGCUUGCUCCUUCGACGUUAGCGGCGGACGGGUGAGUAACACGUAGGUAACCUACCUAUAAGACUGGGAUAACUUCGGGAAACCGGAGCUAAUACCGGAUAAUAUUUCGAACCGCAUGGUUCGAUAGUUAAAGAUGGCUUUGCUAUCACUUAUAGAUGGACCUGCGCCGUAUUAGCUAGUUGGUAAGGUAACGGCUUACCAAGGCAACGAUACGUAGCCGACCUGAGAGGGUGAUCGGCCACACUGGAACUGAGACACGGUCCAGACUCCUACGGGAGGCAGCAGUAGGGAAUCUUCCGCAAUGGGCGAAAGCCUGACGGAGCAACGCCGCGUGAGUGAUGAAGGUCUUCGGAUCGUAAAACUCUGUUAUUAGGGAAGAACAAACGUGUAAGUAACUGUGCACGUCUUGACGGUACCUAAUCAGAAAGCCACGGCUAACUACGUG
rnacentral:rRNA from 1 species